rnacentral:lncRNA from 7 species
ACUCCAGCUGCAAAUGAACGAGACAAAAAGAGAAUGAAAUUGCUUCUAAUUUUGGACAGCAUGGUUUGUUUAUAUCCUAUAUGCCAAGCAGCUAUUUUAUUACUGUAAUUGCAACAGCUCCUAGAGCUCUCAUCUGCAAUACGUAAGGACCAUAUAAGCAGAAGAAAAAAGACAGCUCUGACCUAAAGAUCUCCUCUUCAUAAGAACCUCCAUUUAGAAGUCUGUUAGCUGCUGAUGAUUAUUCCCCACUUAAAAGCAAUCCUCCCUGGAGAAUGAUGGAAAAUAAACCAAUGUGAUAGUCCAGAAUGUUGGGUUUCAGUAUUCUCCAUGAAACAUUAGGAGCCUUUUCAAACAAGCAAUAUUAAUCACUACCCUAUCGUGAAAAAUCAGCUCAGACCUCAAUCCAGGCCAAAGAUGUAGGAAGGGUCCUCCAGAGAAUUGGCCGGAUGCUGCCUUGUUUUUAUCUCUCCCCAUUGCUGCUGACCAGUGUGCCCAGUAUCACCAGUGUGUGCUGCACCAGCAGCUCACAUUCCCUGACCUCGGUGAGUUCACGUUGAUUCUGUUUUGAGCUGAGAGAGACAGACAGAGAGGGAAACACACAUGCUAGUACUGAGUCUCUUGUCUGCUGACCUAAUAAAGGAACUAACAUUAAGAAAUGAGAAAAUCCAGCUGGUCUGAUUUCUUGCUAGACAAUCUACCAGCCGUGAAAAAAAUGCUCAAGUCUCAGGAGAUGUGCAGAGGUGAGAAGGCAGCUGGUGGUUUAUAGCACCUGAAACAGAACCCAAAACAGGGAGUCAGCGUGCUUGGGAACGGAUACUUUCUUUAUAGCAGUGUACAUUUUUCUUUCUGCUUCUGCAGCCUGACAGUGUACCACAGACUGAUUACUUUCUGGACUCCACUGCUCUGCACUUUGACUGCAAGUGACUGAAUAAGUCAUUUGGUGGGAGAGAUGGCGAAGGCCAAGUAGAAGACAGUGGUUCUGAGACCAGAUAAGACAGCAGAUAACUCCAGACAGAGCGUUCCACACUUGUCUCAGCCUCCCUGCUAGAAAACUACAGGAUUUUAAAUAUAUAUUCUUGUAUUAUAGAAACAAAAUAAACAGCUG